rnacentral:rRNA from 1 species
UACGAAGGGUGCAAACGUUGCUCGGAAUUAUUGGGCGUAAAGCGUCCGCAGGUGGCAGUUCAAGUCUGCUGUCAAAGACCGGGGCUUAACUUCGGAAAGGCAGUGGAAACUGAACAGCUAGAGUAUGGUAGGGGCAGAGGGAAUUCCUGGUGUAGCGGUGAAAUGCGUAGAGAUCAGGAAGAACAUCGGUGGCGAAGGCGCUCUGCUGGACCAUAACUGACACUCAGGGACGAAAGCUAGGGGAGCGAAUGGG